ACCUUGGUAGUGUCGUGGCAGCACGACCCUCCCGUAUGAGUGAGCGCGGGUUCGACUCCCGCCUUAGGCU